GACCUCGAAUCAGGUAGGAAUACCCGCUGAACUUAAGCAUAUCAAUAAGC
rnacentral:rRNA from 1 species